rnacentral:misc_RNA from 1 species
GUUGGUGAACCAGCGGAGGGAUCAUUACCGAGUUUACAACUCCCAAACCCCUGUGAACAUACCUAUACGUUGCCUCGGCGGAUCAGCCCGCGCCCCGUAAAAAGGGACGGCCCGCCCGAGGACCCCUAAACUCUGUUUUUAGUGGAACUUCUGAGUAAAACAAACAAAUAAAUCAAAACUUUCAACAACGGAUCUCUUGGUUCUG